rnacentral:tRNA from 1 species
GGGCGGUUAGCUCAGCGGUGAGAGCACCGGUCUUACAAACCGGGGGUCGGAGGUUCGAAUCCUCCACCGCCCA